UAUGCCCAGCUGCAAACUAAGACAGCUAACCCCUAACAUUCGCUGUCCGCCAGGGAACUACGAGCUGUAGCUUGAAACUCAAAGGACUUGGCGGUGCUUUAAACCCAUCUAGAGGAGCCUGUCCUAGAACCGAUAAUCCCCGUUAAACCUCACCCUCUCUUGCUUUUUACAGCCUAUAUACCGCCGUCGCCAGUCUACCCUGUGAAGGAACAAAAGUAGGCGCAAUUGGUACAGCCCAGUACGACAGGUCGAGGUGUAGCUUAUGGGAGGGGAAGAGAUUGGCUACAUUCUCUAACUCAGAGCAUACGGAACAUGAACUGAAAUAAUUCAUAAGAAGGUGGAUUUAGUAGUAAGGGGUGAACAGAGUGCACCUCUGAAAUCGGCACUGAAGCGCGUA
rnacentral:rRNA from 1 species